rnacentral:rRNA from 1 species
GAACGCUGGCGGCGUGCUUAACACAUGCAAGUCGAACGAUGAUGCCCAGCUUGCUGGGCGGAUUAGUGGCGAACGGGUGAGUAACACGUGAGUAACCUGCCCUUGACUUCGGGAUAACUCCGGGAAACCGGGGCUAAUACCGGAUAUGAGCCGUCCUCGCAUGGGGGUGGUUGGAAAGUUUUUCGGUCAGGGAUGGGCUCGCGGCCUAUCAGCUUGUUGGUGGGGUGAUGGCCUACCAAGGCGACGACGGGUAGCCGGCCUGAGAGGGCGACCGGCCACACUGGGACUGAGACACGGCCCAGACUCCUACGGGAGGCAGCAGUGGGGAAUAUUGCACAAUGGGCGAAAGCCUGAUGCAGCGACGCCGCGUGAGGGAUGAAGGCCUUCGGGUUGUAAACCUCUUUCAGCAGGGAAGAAGCGCAAGUGACGGUACCUGCAGAAGAAGCGCCGGCUAACUACGUGCCAGCAGCCGCGGUAAUAC